GACGAACGCUGGCGGCGUGCUUAACACAUGCAAGUCGAACGGAAAGGCUCAAGCUUGCUGGAGUACUCGAGUGGCGAACGGGUGAGUAACACGUGGGUAAUCUGCCCUGCACUCUGGGAUAAGCCUGGGAAACUGGGUCUAAUACUGGAUAUGACCUUUCUCCUUAUGGGGUUUGGUGGAAAGUUUUUCGGUGUAGGAUGAGCCCGCGGCCUAUCAGCUUGUUGGUGGGGUGAUGGCCUACCAAGGCGACGACGGGUAGCCGGCCUGAGAGGGUGAUCGGCCACAUUGGGACUGAGAUACGGCCCAGACUCCUACGGGAGGCAGCAGUGGGGAAUAUUGCACAAUGGGCGGAAGCCUGAUGCAGCGACGCCGCGUGAGGGAUGACGGCCUUCGGGUUGUAAACCUCUUUCAGCAGGGACGAAGCGUAAGUGACGGUACCUGCAGAAGAAGCACCGGCUAACUAUGUG
rnacentral:rRNA from 1 species